UGCAGUCGACGGUACAGGUCUUCGGACGCUGACGAGUGGCGAACGGGUGAGUAAUACAUCGGAACGUGCCCAGUCGUGGGGGAUAACUACUCGAAAGAGUAGCUAAUACCGCAUACGAUCUGAGGAUGAAAGCGGGGGACCUUCGGGCCUCGCGCGAUUGGAGCGGCCGAUGGCAGAUUAGGUAGUUGGUGGGAUAAAAGCUUACCAAGCCGACGAUCUGUAGCUGGUCUGAGAGGACGACCAGCCACACUGGGACUGAGACACGGCCCAGACUCCUACGGGAGGCAGCAGUGGGGAAUUUUGGACAAUGGGCGAAAGCCUGAUCCAGCAAUGCCGCGUGCAGGAUGAAGGCCUUCGGGUUGUAAACUGCUUUUGUACGGAACGAAAAAGCUUCUCCUAAUACGAGAGGCCCAUGACGGUACCGUAAGAAUAAGCACCGGCUAACUACGUGCCAGCAGCCGCGGU
rnacentral:rRNA from 1 species